rnacentral:rRNA from 1 species
UGGUAUGAGAGGGUCGGCAUGGGGUGGGCUGUCUUCUACUCAUAGAUAGAAUUUCUCUUGUAGGUGAACAGACUGACAUUUGAUUACAAGACGGGUAGACCCCGAUGAGCUUGAACAGCGGGGUAUUAUUUUUGACAAGGUAAUAAUUAACUUGGCAUUUUGUAGUAUACUUCUUCGGUUGGGAAAACCGAGGAGAUGAAUGAAACUCUUAGAUUGUUGCGUGUGGUAAAUAUCAAGAUCUUUUACGAAAGAAAUUUUUUAUAAAGAAAAGCUACCGCGGGGAUAACAGCAUUGUCCUUUCGGAGAGAAUACACUGAUGAAGGGGUUUGUGACCUCGAUU